GAGCGAAGGGGGCAAGCGUUGUCCGGAAUCAUUGGGCGUAAAGAGCGUGUAGGCGCCAGAAAAGUCCGCUGUGAAAACUCGAGGCUCAACUUCGAGCUGUCGGUGGAAACUUUCUGGCUAGAGUCCGGAAGAGGAGAAUGGAAUUCCUGGUGUAGCGGUGAAAUGCGCAGAUAUCAGGAAGAACACCCAUGGCGAAGGCGGUUCUCUGGGACGGUACUGACGCUGGAGACGCGAAAGCCGUGGGGAGCGAACAGG
rnacentral:rRNA from 1 species